UUCCCUCCUCCCCUCACUGCUACUGUCACGUGACACCACCUGUGUGACGUCGCAGCCAGUUUGCAGCGCAGGUGGUAAAUCCCGGAAAACACAAACGACCAACAUGUUAUCUAAAUAAAAGAGUAUUUCUCGACAGUUUUGCAAGAAAAUCUAAUUUCUGUGAUAAAAGGCUGUUCACCAUGUCUUCUGGACCUGAGGGUGUUGGGCUGACCCACUGUAAGUGUGUCUUGGUGUUUGCAGUCUUUAUGGAUCUUCUCGGGGUGUCUGCUAUUCUGAUCGGUGUCUUCGUCCCGCUUGAAGUCGGGGGCCGUGACUUUGGGGAUCUGAUGGUGUAUUCAGGAGCUCUACUGGUGUUGAUGUCUAUGGGGGGUUGGGUCAUGUGGUACAGUGGGAAUAUUGAGGGUUUGAGAUCGGGGAAUGAGCUGACACACAAACGCAACGCCGUGGACAGGUUUGCUCGCACCCUUAGUCGUCGCAUACGGAAACCCCACCGCAGCCACAACACAUCCUGACCUCUGACCUCAAGACAUGGCUGAGAGCACAUACACAGGGCUUAGGAAACCACAAACAAGGCCAAAACCUCAGCUGGAAUCUAAGGAAAAUGGAAUGAUAAAGAACGUUUUGCAAGGAUGAAGGCUGACACGGAUACAGUAUAUUGUUACAAUGUGGUGUUUGUUACUACUACUAUAAAAAAAAUGUAUAAAAUUGAAGUUAUGUUAUAGUGUUAA